UGCUUUAUAGUCAAUAAUAAAUGACAUUAGACUGCAAUUCUAAAGGAGUAAUAAUUUACUAAAGCUU
rnacentral:tRNA from 1 species